rnacentral:misc_RNA from 1 species
GUAGGUGAACCUGCGGAAGGAUCAUUACCGAGUUCAUGCCCUUCGGGGUAGAUCUCCCACCCUUUGUAUACCAUACCUCUGUUGCUUUGGCGGGCCGCCUAGCUACUGGCUUCGGCUGGUAAGUGCCCGCCAGAGGACCCAAAACCCUUAAUGUUAGUGUCGUCUGAGUAAAAAGUUUAAUAUUUAAAACUUUCAACAACGGAUCUCUUGGCUCUGGCAUCGAUGAAGAACGCAGCAUCUGACUGACUAC